CAUUUAAAGUGGUACGCGAGCUGGGUUUAGAACGUCGUGAGACAGUUCGGUCCCUAUCUGCCGUGGGCGCUGGAGAAUUGAGGGGGGCUGCUCCUAGUACGAGAGGACCGGAGUGGACGCAUCACUGGUGUUCGGGUUGUCAUGCCAAUGGCACUGCCCGGUAGCUAAAUGCGGAAGAGAUAAGUGCUGAAAGCAUCUAAGCACGAAACUUGCCCCGAGAUGAGUUCUCCCUGAGACUUUAAGUCUCCUGAAGGAACGUUAAAGACGAUGACGUUGAUAGGCCGGGUGUGUAAGCGCAGCGAUGCGUUGAGCUAACCGGUACUAAUGAACCGUGAGGCUUAACCUUACAACGCCGAAG
rnacentral:rRNA from 2 species